GAAAAUGAUGACAGUUAUUGUCGCCCCAGUCUUAUGUUGCAUCCUGUUUAUUGGAUAUGCAAGGUGGUGAUUGACACAUAUGUCUGAUUC
rnacentral:snoRNA from 1 species